AAGGGGUUAUAGAAGAGGAAGUGUAAGCGGCGUUGUGAAGGAGGGAGGAGGGGAACGGGGCUCGAACUUAGAGAACUCUGAGACCUCCAUGGAAUGGAGGGGAUGAAGGGAACCUGAUGGGCACUGCGGAGAAGGUGGGGAAGAGGGAGGCGGGAAGGCUGAGAGCAGGAGGAGACACAGGGGUUGGGGGCAGGAGGCCUGGAAGGAAUGGGAUGGCAAGAAGAGAAGGAAAGCCAAAGAAGUAUAGGGAGAGGGCUGGAACGAAGUAGGAAGGAUGAGGGUUAAUGCUGUUGCGGAGCCAGAAGGUAGAGGCAGGGCAGGGAUGCCAGGAGGGAACCGAGGAGGACCUGCCGGUGGGUGGUAAAGAGAGGCAGUACAGCUGGGGAGAGUUGGGAGCUCAGGACAAGGGAGAGCGUUGCCUGGUUUUCUGGAGCUCCACUGUUAGCCAGAUUCAUCGGUCACCAUUCUAGGAGGGGCUUUGGAGGGAGUCUCAUGGGGGGGGGAGUGGGGCCAGUCUUGGGCCUGGCAAGGAGGAGAAAGAUCAGGAGUGCUGGCUCUGAGCCCCCCACCCCCUACCCCAGACCUGUCAGUGACCAGGCGCCUGUGCAGAGUAUAGGCAAGGCCCAGCCCCCUACACUCUCACCUUCCCAGGUGCGGGCAGAGGGUGCUGGGACACAUGGAGAGGUGUGAAGCUGGUGCCAGCCUAGGAAAGAGGGGGUGGGGCAGGACGCCUGGGAGAGGUCACAAGGGCGCUGCUCUUCUCCACUUCUCUGCGGAUGCUCUCACCUGCCUAGCAUUGAGGAAGGGGCUUGGGACGGAGGAACCCAGGAGGGCUGGGAGGAAGCAGUUUCACUACAGCCAGACACCCCAAGUUCUUCCAGUAUUAAAGUUCUCUCUGCUUCCUGUUUUGCCAAGAUGUGAAGAGCUACAGUCAUGUGAGCGGGCUGUCUCAUGCUCUGCAAGCACAGCCAUGAAACAUAGUCACCUCCUUGACUUCCCUUCCAUGAUGGACUGGACCUGCAAACUGGGAGCCAAGCAAGUCCUCCUUGCCCAUGGAAGCCAGAAGAAGGUGCCAGAUUCUCUGGAGUUGUAGUGAGCUGCCAUGCAGAUGCUGGUAAUUGAACCCGGAUCCUC